AUGGCUGCACAAAUACCAGAAUCUGAUCAGAUAAAACAGUUUAAGGAAUGUCUUGCAACUACAAGAAAUUUCCAGAAAACUGCUUUUUUCUACUGAGUUAAAGACUUCACAACAAGAGAACUAAAACCUGAAGAGACCAUCCGCUCAGAACAUUGCUUACGGAAAUAUUUUUAAAUCAUGCAAAGAAUAUCCAUGAGAUUUCAGGAAUAUCAUUCAGCAGCCAGACAGGACUCCAUGGCCAACCAUGAUAGAGAAGUCCUGAUGGAUGAACUUU
rnacentral:lncRNA from 1 species